UACGUAGGGUCCGAGCGUUGUCCGGAAUUAUUGGGCGUAAAGGGCUCGUAGGCGGUUUUGUCGCGUCGGGAGUGAAAACCUACAGCUUAACUGUGGGCUUGCUUUCGAUACGGGCAGACUUGAGGCAUGCAGGGGAGACUGGAAUUCCUGGUGUAGCGGUGAAAUGCGCAGAUAUCAGGAGGAACACCGAUGGCGAAGGCAGGUCUCUGGGCAUUAACUGACGCUG
rnacentral:rRNA from 1 species